rnacentral:rRNA from 1 species
UGGGGAAUAUUGCACAAUGGGGAGGACCCUGAUGCAGCGACGCCGCGUGAGCGAAGAAGUAUCUCGGUAUGUAAAGCUCUAUCAGCAGGGAAGAAAGUGACGGUACCUGACUAAGAAGCCCCGGCUACUACGUGCCAGCAGCCGCGGUAAUACGUAGGGAGCAAGCGUUAUCCGGAUUUACUGGGUGUAAAGGGAGCGCAGGCGGCGCGGCAAGUCUGGUGUGAAAGCCCGGGGCUCAACCCCGGACUGCAUUGGAAACUGUCGUGCUGGAGUGUCGGAGGGGCAAGUGGAAUUCCUAGUGUAGCGGUGAAAUGCGUAGAUAUUAGGAGGAACACCAGUGGCGAAGGCGGCUUGCUGGACGACAACUGACGCUGAGGCUCGAAAGCGUGGGGAGCAAACAGGAUUAGAUACCC